rnacentral:rRNA from 1 species
AGAGUGAACGCUGGCGGUAGGCCUAACACAUGCAAGUCGAACGGCAGCACGGUAAGAGCUUGCUCUUAUGGGUGGCGAGUGGCGGACGGGUGAGGAAUACAUCGGAAUCUACCUUUUGGUGGGGGAUAACGGUAGGGAAACUUACGCUAAUACCGCAUACGCCCUUCGGGGGAAAGCCGGGGACCAGCAAUGGCCUGGCGCUGAUAGAUGAGCCGAUGUCGGAUUAGCUAGUUGGUGAGUAAUGGCUCACCAAGGCGACGAUCCGUAGCUGGUCUAGAGGAGGAUGAUCAGCCACACUGGAACCUGGACGACGACGGUCAGACUCCGUACGGGAGCAGC